rnacentral:rRNA from 1 species
AACAGGAUUCCUUUAGUAAUGGCGAAUGAAGAAGGAUUAGCUCAACAUGAAAAUUGGGGCUUCUGGCCUUGAAUUGUAGUUUGAAGAUGCAUUUGCCAAUGGACAUGAUAAUGAAAGCCUUUUGGGAAAAAGCAUCAACGAGGGUGAGAAUCCUUCUUGACAUUUCAAUUGUCCAUGUACGGUGUGCAUUGAAGAUUCACGUUCCUUGGGAUUUGAACGCAAACUUGUUGGUAAAUUUCAUUUAAAGCUAAAUAUUGGUUUGAGACCGAUAGAAAACAAGUACCAUGAGGGAAAAGUGAAAAGGACUUUGAAAAGAAAGUUAAAAGUGCUUGAAAUUGCUGAAGAGGAAGCGGGUGUAUUUCAAACACAAUUUUCAAGAUUGUUGUGCAUAUCUGUGAUUUCUUGUUGUUUUGACUUCAUCGCAGCAACAAGACUGAUCUGUGACUGCACAAUGUUGCUUGUGUUUUGUGCCAUCAUCGAUUCACAGCUAAAGAAACAGCCUGAAAAUGACGAUUUGCUCUUGUGCAAAUGAAUGUUUGGGUGUAGAUUUAGCUUGUGGACCGUCUGUCUUCCUGUUGUGUUGAUACCUUGGUGUCCACAACAUGAAAAUGAUGGCCAAAGAAAUACAUUCGGCCCGUCU